rnacentral:rRNA from 1 species
AGAAAGCCACGGCUAACUACGUGCCAGCAGCCGCGGUAAUACGUAGGUGGCAAGCGUUGUCCGGAUUUAUUGGGCGUAAAGCGAGCGCAGGCGGUUUCUUAAGUCUGAUGUGAAAGCCCCCGGCUCAACCGGGGAGGGUCAUUGGAAACUGGGAAACUUGAGUGCAGAAGAGGAGAGUGGAAUUCCAUGUGUAGCGGUGAAAUGCGUAGAUAUAUGGAGGAACACCAGUGGCGAAGGCGGCUCUCUGGUCUGUAACUGACGCUGAGGCUCGAAAGCGUGGGGAGCAAACAGGAUUAGAUACCCUGGUAGUCCACGCCGUAAACGAUGUCGAUUUGGAGGUUGUGCCCUUGAGGCGUGGCUUCCGGAGCUAACGCGUUAAAUCGACCGCCUGGGGAGUACGGCCGCAAGGUUAAAACUCAAAUGAAUUGACGGGGGCCCGCACAAGCGGUGGAGCAUGUGGUUUAAUUCGAUGCAACGCGAAGAACCUUACCUGGUCUUGACAUCCACAGAACUUUCCAGAGAUGGAUUGGUGCCUUCGGGAACUGUGAGACAGGUGCUGCAUGGCUGUCGUCAGCUCGUGUUGUGAAAUGUUGGGUUAAGUCCCGCAACGAGCGCAACCCUUAUCCUUUGUUGCCAGCGGUUCGGCCGGGAACUCAAAGGAGACUGCCAGUGAUAAACUGGAGGAAGGUGGGGAUGACGUCAAGUCAUCAUGGCCCUUACGACCAGGGCUACACACGUGCUACAAUGGCAUAUACAAAGAGAAGCGACCUCGCGAGAGCAAGCGGACCUCAUAAAGUAUGUCGUAGUCCGGAUUGGAGUCUGCAACUCGACUCCAUGAAGUCGGAAUCGCUAGUAAUCGUAGAUCAGAAUGCUACGGUGAAUACGUUCCCGGGCCUUGUACACACCGCCCGUCACACCAUGGGAGUGGGUUGCAAAAGAAGUAGGUAGCUUAACCUUCGGGAGGGCGCUUACCACUUUGUGAUUCAUGACUGGGGUGAAGUCGUAACAAGGUAACCGUAGGGGAACCUGCGGUUG